rnacentral:rRNA from 1 species
UACGAAGGGGGCUAGCGUUGCUCGGAAUCACUGGGCGUAAAGGGUGCGUAGGCGGGUCUUUAAGUCAGGGGUGAAAUCCUGGAGCUCAACUCCAGAACUGCCUUUGAUACUGAGGAUCUUGAGUUCGGGAGAGGUGAGUGGAACUGCGAGUGUAGAGGUGAAAUUCGUAGAUAUUCGCAAGAACACCAGUGGCGAAGGCGGCUCACUGGCCCGGUACUGACGCUGAUGCGCGAAAGCGUGGGGAGCAAACGGG